GAAAUGCGAUAAGUAAUGUGAAUUGCAGAAUUCAGUGAAUCAUCGAAUCUUUGAACGCACCUUGCGCUCCUUGGUAUUCCUUGGAGCAUGUCUGUUUGAGUAUCAUGAAAUCUUCAAAGUAAAUCUUUUGUUAACUCAAUUGGUUUCUACUUUGGUAUUGGAGGUCUUUGCAGCUUCACACCUGCUCCUCUUUGUUCAUUAGCUGGAUCUCAGUGUUAUGCUUGGUUCCACUCGGCGUGAUAAGUUAUCUAUCGCUGAGGACACUGUAAAAGGUGGCCAAGGUAAAUGCAGAUGAACCGCUUCUAAUAGUCCAUUGACUUGGACAAGACUUUUAUGAUCUGAUCUCAAAUCAGGUAGGACUACCCGCUGAACUUAAGC
rnacentral:misc_RNA from 1 species